rnacentral:rRNA from 1 species
GACGAACGCUGGCGGCGUGCCUAAUACAUGCAAGUCGAGCGGACCGGAUUGGGGCUUGCCUUGAUUCGGUCAGCGGCGGACGGGUGAGUAACACGUGGGCAACCUGCCCGCAAGACCGGGAUAACUCCGGGAAACCGGAGCUAAUACCGGAUAACACCGAAGACCGCAUGGUCUUCGGUUGAAAGGCGGCCUUUGGGCUGUCACUUGCGGAUGGGCCCGCGGCGCAUUAGCUAGUUGGUGAGGUAACGGCUCACCAAGGCGACGAUGCGUAGCCGGCCUGGGAGGGUGAACGGCCACACUGGGAAUGAGAAACGGCCCAGAACUCCACGGGGGGGAGCAGGAGGGAAUCUUUCGAAAUGGGGGGAAGCCUGACGGAGCGAAGCCGGGGGGGGGAAGAAGGCCCUCGGGUCGUAAAGCUCUGUUGUGAGGGACGAAGGAGCGUCGUUCGAAGAGGGCGGCGCGGUGACGGUACCUCACGAGAAAGCCCCGGCUAACUACGUG